ACACACACACACACACACACACACGCACAGAAAAUCCAGCAGUAUCAGUGUAAUCCACACUAACGACUCAUUUUGUCUCCAUCACGUUAUUAUCCUUUCUGUCAGAUGAAAGAUAAUCACUUUCACAACGUCUGGAAUCUGAAUCGUCCCGAAAGCUCCGACGAGAAAAAAAACGAGGCCGAGGCCUGGAGAGAAGAAAAAAUGUCGGUUCGCGCAUUUCUCCAGAAACUUGGACCGCUGAAUGAUGGUCGUGAAUCUGCAUCCGAGACGAGCAGUCUCGAAAAGUUCUCGAACUGGAAAACGUCCAGGUUCCUUCUGGUUGGCCGAGCGAGCCGUGCCAAUCGGUUCAAUAUGGCUCGACUUGUUUUCCUAAAGACCUAAAGUUCGGCGUCGAAGUAGGAUGUCGCGUGCAGAACAUGCGGAACUUUUAUCCAGUUAUAGUUACACUGUGGAACGUCCACGACGUGGAAGGCGUAAACUCCUCUAUCAUGAAGAUGUUGGAAAACUUCAAGUUACGAAGCGCUGACACUGGAGACUCCUUCCAG
ensembl:lncRNA